rnacentral:lncRNA from 1 species
GGGGUGAAAGGUUAUCAUAUUCCAACCAAGAAUUGCAUCAACUGCAAAAGGUUUCAAUUGAAAGAGAUACUUGGUAACAUUCACGAACAGCAAAAGAAACAAACGGCUUGCAUUUUAUAGGCCUCACGUAGAAAGUCUUUUGCGAGGAGGAACCAAAUUACAGUACAUUAAACUUAAUUUAAACCUUUGCAGCAACUCGUAGGCAACUUUUCUUUUUGCCCUUUACAAGCCCAAUCAUAAAAGUUUGUUUAUAAAUCCCUAUAGCAACUUGCACCAUUAUU